ensembl:lncRNA
GUUUUCACAAGGUCAUGCUGACACAUACUUCAUGCUUCAUCUUAAGCAGGCAAAGGUUUUACAAGAAUCAUACAGACAGAUUCUAAACACAUAAAUCUAAAUGUGAGGAUAAACUAGAAUUUGUCCAUAACAUCUCACCCUUUGAUCAUUGUUUAAUCAUACAAACAUCAUGAAAACAAAAGGUCAAAUUCAACAUCAAUAAAUAUCAACAACAUUGCAUACUUACAGAAGUUCACUACUUGCACCAUUCCACACUGUUAAAGAUACAAUUUUACACUUAGUGGUCAUCCUUACUCUCACUAUCAUCUCUUCUUCAUCUGAGUCUGAAAUUUGUAUGCAAAAUAUUAGUAAUUAUACUCAGGAACAACUUGAGAAAAGAAGAAUAUCAGAUUAUACAUGGAAAUAUCAAACAGCAUUUGUUGUUCACCUGCUGAAGGAGAGCUUUAACACUUUAGUUACAUGAAUUUGUUCAUCCAUGAGAAGCUGUUUAUAAGAUAAGGAAGUCAUUCUGUGUGAAACAUGUUUAUGAAACCCAUCAUCCAAUGUUUCCCCAUUUAGUGAUUGUUUCUGUAAAAGAAUCGUUAUCAUCAGUAUUGUUAGGGAUGAAGACACACAUGCAUCACCAAACAUCACACACACACACUUCUUUGUGCAGUUCUAUAUUUUGCAAUGUCCAGAUGUUUGCCAUCAGGGACAGUGAGUACCAUUCAACCUGUGGAUAAAUACAAAGAACAUCUAACUGAUAUCAGUGAUCAAGGUCAGCCUUAGCUAACACCACAAGUAGCCGUCUUAAAAAUACAGAACCUACCCUUACCUGGUCCUUAUAAGUCAUAUAUACUUGAAAAUUAUGUGUUUCCAUGGGCUUCACAAUUCACCUAAACAUGAAAUAUCAGUGUGUGACCUUAUGGUACUCAUAAGUCACAUAAACCUGACAGUGUCCUCACAAGUAGCAUUAAAUUCAGGUUUGACCAAAAUUUCACCCUAGCCAAAAUCUCAACAGAUGGGCGAGUUCCUGGAAGCAUGGGUCAAACUUUGUGUGAUUCCCAUGCCUCUAGGACCUUCAGAAAGGCACGUUCCCAUUUGUCACAUUUUUGUCAUAGGUCCUGAUAUUUCACGAAAACACGUAUGUGUGUGUGUGUGUGGUGUUAUUAUGUCAAUUUUGUAAAUAGCUGUAAAUAGUCUUGUCAAGUUGCAAUUGUGUAUUUUGUUCACCUUGUACAUAUUCUUCACUGCAGCAGCCUAGUAGGCGUGAGAAGCCAUUUUUGUUGAUUAAGUUUCUCCUGUUUUUUGUUAGAAAGUUAGGUAAGUGGAUUGUCUUUUGGUUGGUGUUUAUUUUGUGUAGGAAAGCACAGGGACCAGGGGCCUGUUCUUCGUACCUCGCUAAGUAAGUUAGCCGGAUUUGAAUGUUGACGAUUUCGCGUGAUCUUGGAUCGUUCGGUUCUCCGAAGCUCAGCUGGGACUUGCUGUCAUAGCAACAGAUCCGUAAGCGUAAACCUGCUUGGGAGCAGGUUUACUUUAUGUAAACAGGAUUAGAUCGCGGCCACUCAGGUAUGUCCGCUGCAGUUAUAUGAAAGCAAGAGCGAUAUUUCUCCACUGUUUUACCAUAAAUAAAUAUUAUCAAUGUAACUAAAGAUAAUGCAGCAUUUGAUUCUUUUAUUGAUUUCAUACAGAUACAUACAGGUCAUUUCCGAAAAAAAGGGAAAUGUACUAUUAAUCAUUCUAUUACAUGUAGUAGAUCAUGUCAGAUGUAAUUAAUAUUUUAGAGUAGUAAUAGUAAAUUACUACGUGCAAUCAAGAUGACAGACCACGGCUAUAAACGCGAAGGUGGAUUUGGGAAGUCUGUCGCAGCCAUGUCCUGUCCGUUUGUACGCGAGCAAGGAAGGUGCAAGAUUGAUAAGGAGAGUUUACAGAAUUUAGCGGAUAUUGCGGGAUAGACGGGAUCCUUUAGCUCAGCGCGACAGUGUGCUCAUAGAGAGAUAUCGAUUCUCCCGUGAGGGUAUUAUUUUCUCUCUAUCUCUCUCUCUCUCUCUCUCUCUAUCUAUCUAUGCAUGCUUCAGUCACCCCUUGCAUGGGAACAGGUAAAAGUGAUGGAGUGUUAUGUCAAACUACACACAAAAAAACCCACAAUGUCAAUAAAUGUCACAGUACAAAAGGGGUGUGACGAGGGGUGCAGGACCACCACCUGUCUUUAUUUGCUCUGCCCUUUUCUUGGUUGCUGUUAUAAACAAACAAACAGAUUAUUCCAGGGUCUCUUGUCAUAGACUAAAAGCAAUAUAAGUGAUAAAUAUUACCAUUCUGUGGAAUAUUCUUAUAUUUCACUUUUACUUGUUCCCAUGUUCUAGUGGGUCCUGUUGUGGCUCUAAUGUGAAAGAGGAUAUGAUGUAAUAUAAUAUAAUGUGGUAUAAUAUAAUAUCACAUGAUAUAAUGUAAUAUCAUGGAUCACUUACGAGUUUAAUUUGUCAGCAACUUUCUGCCAGCCCUCUCUCCUUGCUUUUGCAGCCUUUGCAGUGUUCCCCUGCGUUUUAAUUAAACUCUGAAACUCCUGAUAUCCCUCAAUCAAGAGUUCUUGGUCUGCUGCCGUGAAAUACUGAGCGUGCUCCUUCGACAUCUUCGCCGACCAAUCACAGGGUUGCCGAUCAAUGUUUCUACUAUCGGUGCGUAGCCCCUUUUAAGCCACCCAGUGAUCUCAGAUUACUUCAUCCAGCUAUACUAAUCGUCAACAACAGGUGUGUUCGGAGAACCGGAUUAGCGAGCUCAAAGUUAGCGCGAUGAUUUGAUCUUGGAUGUGUCAUUUGAUCUUGGAUGUAGUAAGCGAGGUACGAAGAACGGGCCCCAGUAGGGAGUUUUGUUUGUUGUUUUUUGGCAUUGCUCACAGCUGAAACAAAUAAAUGGCUGCUUAGCACUUUUAGAAGAUAUUGUUGUUUGUGUUUUUUCUUUGGUGGAGUGUGAGUGGGCCAAUUUCUUGUUGCGUUCAUACACGCCUAGACAAAGAACGUAACAAGGUGAUGGAUGAGCUUGUGCUUUCAUGAAUAAAAGAAAUAAAUAUUGUCUCAUGUCUCCUGUAUGUGGUGUUAAAUAGGCUUAUACUGCUGUACUUUAAUGUCGGUCAUAAGAGUGGUAGUUCAAAAGCCAUUAAUUUUAUGAUGUGGGACUCACUGUGGAAAGUUUGAGAACCACUGAUUUAGAGCUUUAAGAGUAAAGAAGGGGGGGAAAAAAACCCCCAAAACAAAGGCUUUUGAACCGGGAAACUGCAGAAUAAGACGAAAAUAUUCCUGGGUUGUAUUAAAGGAUCUGGCUGCUGCUGCUGGCAGGAAGAGGACCCAAAGGCAGGACUUACGUAGACAAAGAAGCUAAACUAAAAGAGGCAGAUUUAUUGUGCUGUAGCAAAUUUUCAAAGCCAAGAAAACAAAAUGUGAAACAAGAAACUAAGAAGGGGAAACUAGGAGUGAGGAUGACGAGGAACACACAGGAAAACCACAGCACAUAAGACAACACUACAACAGACACAGGGCUUAAAUACAAGGAGGAAACACAUGGGGCGCACAGCAGGGAGAGGUUAACAUAAAGAGACACGGAGGAAGGACUGAGGACACACAUGGAACAUGUAGACAUGAAAAAUGUGAAACACAGGAAGACACAGAGACAGAAACUAAAGACUAAAAUCUAUAACAUAAAUACAAAACCAUAAAAAGAACCAAAACCAUGAAUAACAACAAAUCAAAGAGUAUUAACUCAAACCAGA